rnacentral:rRNA from 1 species
UACAGAGGUGGCAAGCGUUGUUCGGAAUUACUGGGCGUAAAGGGCGCGUAGGCGGUUGCCUAAGUCGGACGUGAAAUCCCCAAGCUUAACUUGGGAACUGCAUCUGAUACUGGGUGACUUGAGUUCGGGAGAGGAAUGUGGAAUUCCAGGUGUAGCGGUGAAAUGCGUAGAUAUCUGGAGGAAUACCGGUGGCGAAGGCGGCAUCCUGGACCGGCAUUGACGCUGAGGAGCGAAAGCCAGGGGAGCAAACGGG